CCUACGGGCGGCUGCAGUGGGGAAUAUUGGACAAUGGGCGAAAGCCUGAUCCAGCAAUGCCGCGUGAGUGAUGAAGGCCCUAGGGUUGUAAAGCUCUUUUACCCGGGAUGAUAAUGACAGUACCGGGAGAAUAAGCUCCGGCUAACUUCGUGCCAGCAGCCGCGGUAAUACGAGGGGAGCUAGCGUUGUUCGGAAUUACUGGGCGUAAAGCGCGCGUAGGCGGCUUUUUAAGUCAGAGGUGAAAGCCCGGGGCUCAACCCCGGAAUUGCCUUUGAAACUGGAAAGCUAGAAUCUUGGAGAGGUCAGUGGAAUUCCGAGUGUAGAGGUGAAAUUCGUAGAUAUUCGGAAGAACACCAGUGGCGAAGGCGACUGACUGGACAAGUAUUGACGCUGAGGUGCGAAAGCGUGGGGAGCAAACAGGAUUAGAUACCCUAGUAGUC
rnacentral:rRNA from 1 species